rnacentral:rRNA from 1 species
AGUGAACGCUGGCGGUAGGCCUAACACAUGCAAGUCGAACGGCAGCACAGUAAGAGCUUGCUCUUACGGGUGGCGAGUGGCGGACGGGUGAGGAAUACAUCGGAAUCUACUUUUUCGUGGGGGAUAACGUAGGGAAACUUACGCUAAUACCGCAUACGACCUACGAGUGAAAGCAGGGGAUCUUCGGACCUUGCGCGAUUGAAUGAGCCGAUGUCGGAUUAGCUAGUUGGCGGGGUAAAGGCCCACCAAGGCGACGAUCCGUAGCUGGUCUGAGAGGAUGAUCAGCCACACUGGAACUGAGACACGGUCCAGACUCCUACGGGAGGCAGCAGUGGGGAAUAUUGGACAAUGGGCGCAAGCCUGAUCCAGCCAUACCGCGUGGGUGAAGAAGGCCUUCGGGUUGUAAAGCCCUUUUGUUGGGAAAGAAAAGCAGCAGGUUAAUACCCCGCUGUUCUGACGGUACCCAAAGAAUAAGCACCGGCUAACUUCGU